GUAGGUGGCAAGCGUUGUCCGGAAUUAUUGGGCGUAAAGCGCGCGCAGGCGGUUCUUUAAGUCUGAUGUGAAAGCCCACGGGCUCAACCGUGGAGGGUCAUUGGAAACUGGAGAACUUGAGUACAGAAGAGGAAAGCGGAAUUCCACGUGUAGCGGUGAAAUGCGUAGAGAUGUGGAGGAACACCAGUGGCGAAGGCGGCUUUCUGGUCUGUAACUGACGCUGAGGCGCGAAAGCGUGGGGAGCAAACAGGAUUAAAUACCCUGGUAGUCCACGCCGUAAACGAUGAGUGCUAAGUGUUAGGGGGGUUUCCGCCCCUUAGUGCUGCAGCUAACGCAUUAAGCACUCCGCCUGGGGAGUACGGCCGCAAAGGCUG
rnacentral:rRNA from 1 species